rnacentral:rRNA from 1 species
CGGGACACGUGGUAUCCUGUCUGAAUAUGGGGGGACCAUCCUCCAAGGCUAAAUACUCCUGACUGACCGAUAGUGAACCAGUACCGUGAGGGAAAGGCGAAAAGAACCCCGGCGAGGGGAGUGAAAAAGAACCUGAAACCGUGUACGUACAAGCAGUGGGAGCACGCUUAGGCGUGUGACUGCGUACCUUUUGUAUAAUGGGUCAGCGACUUAUAUUCUGUAGCAAGGUUAACCGAAUAGGGGAGCCGAAGGGAAACCGAGUCUUAACUGGGCGUUAAGUUGCAGGGUAUAGACCCGAAACCCGGUGAUCUAGCCAUGGGCAGGUUGAAGGUUGGGUAACACUAACUGGAGGACCGAACCGACUAAUGUUGAAAAAUUAGCGGAUGACUUGUGGCUGGGGGUGAAAGGCCAAUCAAACCGGGAGAUAGCUGGUUCUCCCCGAAAGCUAUUUAGGUAGCGCCUCGUGAAUUCAUCUCCGGGGGUAGAGCACUGUUUCGGCAAGGGGGUCAUCCCGACUUACCAACCCGAUGCAAACUGCGAAUACCGGAGAAUGUUAUCACGGGAGACACACGGCGGGUGCUAACGUCCGUCGUGAAGAGGGAAACAACCCAGACCGCCAGCUAAGGUCCCAAAGUCAUGGUUAAGUGGGAAACGAUGUGGGAAGGCCCAGACAGCCAGGAUGUUGGCUUAGAAGCAGCCAUCAUUUAAAGAAAGCGUAAUAGCUCACUGGUCGAGUCGGCCUGCGCGGAAGAUGUAACGGGGCUAAACCAUGCACCGAAGCUGCGGCAGCGACGCUGAUGCGUUGUUGGGUAGGGGAGCGUUCUGUAAGCCUGUGAAGGUGUGCUGUGAGGCAUGCUGGAGGUAUCAGAAGUGCGAAUGCUGACAUAAGUAACGAUAAAGCGGGUGAAAAGCCCGCUCGCCGGAAGACCAAGGGUUCCUGUCCAACGUUAAUCGGGGCAGGGUGAGUCGACCCCUAAGGCGAGGCCGAAAGGCGUAGUCGAUGGGAAACAGGUUAAUAUUCCUGUACUUGGUGUUACUGCGAAGGGGGGACGGAGAAGGCUAUGUUGGCCGGGCGACGGUUGUCCCGGUUUAAGCGUGUAGGCUGGUUUUCCAGGCAAAUCCGGAAAAUCAAGGCUGAGGCGUGAUGACGAGGCACUACGGUGCUGAAGCAACAAAUGCCCUGCUUCCAGGAAAAGCCUCUAAGCAUCAGGUAACAUCAAAUCGUACCCCAAACCGACACAGGUGGUCAGGUAGAGAAUACCAAGGCGCUUGAGAGAACUCGGGUGAAGGAACUAGGCAAAAUGGUGCCGUAACUUCGGGAGAAGGCACGCUGAUAUGUAGGUGAAGCGACUUGCUCGUGGAGCUGAAAUCAGUCGAAGAUACCAGCUGGCUGCAACUGUUUAUUAAAAACACAGCACUGUGCAAACACGAAAGUGGACGUAUACGGUGUGACGCCUGCCCGGUGCCGGAAGGUUAAUUGAUGGGGUCAGCGCAAGCGAAGCUCUUGAUCGAAGCCCCGGUAAACGGCGGCCGUAACUAUAACGGUCCUAAGGUAGCGAAAUUCCUUGUCGGGUAAGUUCCGACCUGCACGAAUGGCGUAAUGAUGGCCAGGCUGUCUCCACCCGAGACUCAGUGAAAUUGAACUCGCUGUGAAGAUGCAGUGUACCCGCGGCAAGACGGAAAGACCCCGUGAACCUUUACUAUAGCUUGACACUGAACAUUGAGCCUUGAUGUGUAGGAUAGGUGGGAGGCUUUGAAGUGUGGACGCCAGUCUGCAUGGAGCCGGCCUUGAAAUACCACCCUUUAAUGUUUGAUGUUCUAACGUUGACCCGUGAUCCGGGUUGCGGACAGUGUCUGGUGGGUAGUUUGACUGGGGCGGUCUCCUCCUAAAGAGUAACGGAGGAGCACGAAGGUUGGCUAAUCCUGGUCGGACAUCAGGAGGUUAGUGCAAUGGCAUAAGCCAGCUUGACUGCGAGCGUGACGGCGCGAGCAGGUGCGAAAGCAGGUCAUAGUGAUCCGGUGGUUCUGAAUGGAAGGGCCAUCGCUCAACGGAUAAAAGGUACUCCGGGGAUAACAGGCUGAUACCGCCCAAGAGUUCAUAUCGACGGCGGUGUUUGGCACCUCGAUGUCGGCUCAUCACAUCCUGGGGCUGAAGUAGGUCCCA